ACGUGACAUACGCAAUUUUGUAUCGUUUGCUGGUCUGUAGGAAAUACAUACGGGGGCCAUAUCAUACGAGUCACGCCUGUUGAGGUGACUUGAGAGACGUUAUCUUGUACAACCACAGAAUCCAGUGCUAUACAGAAUGGAGAGGUCACGGUGCAGUGUCAUACUCGGAUUGAUUCUUUGCAUGGCGAUUGGUUUGUCAUGGACUGUUGCUGAAGCAGAAGAAACGUCUAGUAAGAAGACGAACGAGACUUCAACGGAGCAGAAACAAGCAGGCACUCAGCUAAAUCAGACCGCGAACUCCACAUUGACGGCAGCAGCAAGGUCCACCGAAGCUAAUGCAACUACAACUGCGAACAACUCAGCAACAAACGUCUCGGGCAGAUCACUGACGGAAGCGAACCAAACAACAUCUGCGUCACAAAACGAAACAAAAGCAUCCGCCACAAAUGGCACGGAAGUUUCGAAGAAAGAUGCCACGAAAAGUGAUGGACCGGAACCCAGAAGCGCCACGUCGACCAACGACACGUUGAGUGCGAACCAAACGGCGAACACGGAACCCCGGGUGAAAGUUGAAAAUGGGCCAACUACGAACGUCACAUCGAAAGAGGAGGUGAAGACUGCAGGAGCAAAAGAAGGAGCAUCCUCCUCUCCGGCUCCCGUGGGCAGCACAAGUGCUUCCUAAUAGAAUCAAUGCCUCAACGACGAGGGCAACAGAUUUGGUAAAGCACAUAUCACCGAGGUGCACUAGGAAAGAAAUAAAAUGUUCACCGCUCA